AACGAACGCUGGCGGCGUGCCUAACACAUGCAAGUCGUGCGAGAAAGUUCCUUCGGGAGCGAGUAAAGCGGCGCACGGGUGAGUAACACGUAGGUAACCUGCCCCCCAGUCUGGAACAACUAGAGGAAACUCUAGCUAAUGCCGGAUGAGACCACGAUCCCUUCGGGGGUUGCGGCCAAAGAUGGCCUCUACUUGUAAGCUAUCGCUGAGGGAUGGGCCUGCGGGCCAUUAGCUUGUUGGUGAGGUAACGGCUCACCAAGGCUGUGAUGGCUAGCUGGUCUGAGAGGAUGACCAGCCACACUGGGACUGAGACACGGCCCAGACUCCUACGGGAGGCAGCAGUGGGGAAUAUUGCGCAAUGGGCGAAAGCUGACGCAGCGACGCCGCGUGGGUGAUGAAGGCCUCGGUCGGUAAGACCGUCGUCGUCCGAGGGGAA
rnacentral:rRNA from 1 species